rnacentral:rRNA from 1 species
GAUGAACGCUGGCGGCGUGCCUAAUACAUGCAAGUCGAGCGAACAGACGAGGAGCUUGCUCCUCUGACGUUAGCGGCGGACGGGUGAGUAACACGUGGAUAACCUACCUAUAAGACUGGGAUAACUUCGGGAAACCGGAGCUAAUACCGGAUAAUAUAUUGAACCGCAUGGUUCAAUAGUGAAAGACGGUUUUGCGGUCACUUAUAGAUGGAUCCGCGCCGCGUUAGCUAGUUGGUAAGGUAACGGCUUACCAAGGCAACGAUGCGUAGCCGACCUGAGAGGGUGAUCGGCCACACUGGAACUGAGACACGGUCCAGACUCCUAAGGGAGGCAGCAGUAGGGAAUCUUCCGAAAUGGGCGAAAGCUUGGCGGAGCAACGCCGCGUGAGUGAUGAAGGGCUUCGGAUCGUAAAACUCUGUUAUUAGGGAAGAACAAAUGUGUAAUUAACUAUGCACGGCUUGACGGUACCUAAUCAGAAAGCCACGGCUAACUACGUG